rnacentral:rRNA from 1 species
CACGUAGGGCGCAAGCGUUGUCCGGAAUUAUUGGGCGUAAAGAGCUCGUAGGCGGUCUGUUGCGUCCGCUGUGAAAACUCGGGGCUUAACCCCGAGCCUGCAGUGGAUACGGGCAGACUAGAGGUAGGUAGGGGAGAAUGGAAUUCCCGGUGUAGCGGUGAAAUGCGCAGAUAUCGGGAGGAACACCGGUGGCGAAGGCGGCUCACUGGCCCGGUACUGACGCUGAGGCACGAAAGCGUGGGGGGCAAACAGG